rnacentral:rRNA from 1 species
UAGGGAAUCUUCGGCAAUGGACGAAAGUCUGACCGAGCAACGCCGCGUGAGUGAAGAAGGUUUUCGGAUCGUAAAACUCUGUUGUUAGAGAAGAACAAGGACGUUAGUAACUGAACGUCCCCUGACGGUAUCUAACCAGAAAGCCACGGCUAACUACGUGCCAGCAGCCGCGGUAAUACGUAGGUGGCAAGCGUUGUCCGGAUUUAUUGGGCGUAAAGCGGGCGCAGGCGGUUUCUUAAGUCUGAUGUGAAAGCCCCCGGCUCAACCGGGGAGGGUCAUUGGAAACUGGGAGACUUGAGUGCAGAAGAGGGGAGUGGAAUUCCAUGUGUAGCGGUGAAAUGCGUAGAUAUAUGGAGGAACACCAGUGGCGAAGGCGGCUCUCUGGUCUGUAACUGACGCUGAGGCUCGAAAGCGUGGGGAGCAAACAGG